UGCUUUGGCGAAGUUUGCCAUGGUUGACCACUUGAUCGUUCGAUCCAUUGGUGUACGUUUGUGCCGGCUGCUUUGUUUAUAUCGAGAAGAGGACAUGCCGGCAGGCCGGCCAGCCGGCCAAUGGUCCUUGACUUGUUGUCCAUACUGUGAUUGCUAGUUGGGACAGAAUUUUCGCCAGUUUGCUUGCAUAAUUUGUGGUUUGUCGCUGUCGAUCACAUGCGCUCUGUGCUACUCCCUAGUAUUGUAAUUUUUUCCGUAUAUUGAUCAAUGUAUAGAUUCAUUAGCAUCUAUAUAUAGUUAGGGGGUGUUUAGUUGAUGAAAUAAAAAUUUUUGUAUGUCACAUUAGACAUUUGACCGGAUGUCGCAAGGUGUUUUUGUAUACAAAUGGAAAAACGAAUUUCAUGACUAGCCUGUAAACCGCGAGAC
rnacentral:lncRNA from 1 species